UACGGAGGGGGCUAGCGUUGUUCGGAAUUACUGGGCGUAAAGCGCACGUAGGCGGCUUUGUAAGUUAGAGGUGAAAGCCUGGGGCUCAACUCCAGAAUUGCCUUUAAGACUGCAUCGCUUGAACGUCGGAGAGGUGGGUGGAAUUCCAGGUGUAGAGGUGAAAUUCGUAGAGAUCUGGAGGAACACCGGCGGCGAAGGCGGCCUGCUGGGGCUUUUCUGACGCUGAGGCGCGAAAGCGUGGGGAGCAAACAGG
rnacentral:rRNA from 1 species